CGGCUGGGGCAGCAGCAGGAGCGGUGUCGGUGCUGAGCUGCAGUGGGAUCCUGUGGCGUGGGGACAGCGGGUGCUGUGUGUGCAGGCUGCUCCUGUGUCCGUCCGUGUGAGGAGGUGGCGGUUGCACAGUCGCGGCGACAUGACUGAUAAUCAGAACGAGCGUUUUAUCCCUUUUUUCAUUAAAAAGUCUGGUCUUUAAUCGGAUGAUGCUCUAAGUUGGACCUGAGGGCAGAUAAACUAGUAGCUGCUGAAUUCAGUCUUGGUGAGGGUUCGAAGUGGUAGAAUCACCGUCCCUGGAAAUGUUCACAGAAUGUGUUUCACCUGCUGGGUCUUAUCUUUGCUUCUUAAAAUGAGCAAACCUCAGUGGGCCUUCUCAGGGUCUCUCCAGAUGUUUGCAUAAAGGAUGUAGGUGCUGCACCCCAGUGUGGGCAAUGUUUCACCCUCUCAUUGAUUUCAAGCAUUGUGCUGCUUGGCAUUCCCCUUUCUCGGCCAUCUCCAAAGCAUCUGCACUAUGAAAUUUUCCAUGAAUGAAUGAACACUCAGAUGUCUUCACUUCCAGCAGAGAGGACACAACUCUCAGGCUGAAUUAGGCUGUUUGGAGAGGUUUACCAAAAGCUCCAUGGGUUACAGACACAAGACUGUUCUCUCACUCUGGUCUGAACUGAGCACUUGGUGGGCAGUAACAUACGAACUCUGACCACAUCACCGGUGUGAAAUUGCUGAUUAACCUUUUGACUCGGACAAUUGGGACUUCUCUCAACACCAACUGGUAAUGCAGAAGACCAUUAGUAGUUAAUAUUGGGACAUCCCAGCUCCAGAUGUCAAAAGUUGUAGAUGUUGGAACUCAAUUUAUCCAGAAGCUGGGGAGGACCUGAACUGGCUCAAGCCGUUCUGAAAGAGAGAAGCAGCACAACCUUCCUCUAACAAAAAUGCAUAGGCGGCAUUAGCCACAGCGGCUGCCAACGCGGCUGAACGUACGCGGACAAGCUGCUCUCCCCGAGCAGGCGGGCUCUGCCGACACCUGUGAAAACCUGUCUGCACCGCAGGUGAGAAAGCAAAUAACACAGGGUGCCGCCGCGGGAGUAACGCCAGCCAGCGGGACUGCCGCAGCCACGUCCGCUGUCCCCCGCCACGGCGGCCCGAGCCCCGGGGCCGGGCCCAUCGGGGCCCAUCGGGGCCCAUCCCGGUCCCGCCAUCACCGGCCCCGCGCGCCGUUCGCCUCAGCGCCCGCCAGGUGGCGCCCUUGCUCGGCGAGUGGCGUGAGGGCGGGCGGGCCCGAGAAACGCAUCGCGCGCACCCCCCUGCCCGCCCUGCAAUUUCGGAAGCAUUAUAACUAAAGUGUUUUCAACUUAUUAUUAUGCAUGAGUAAAAAUUCCAUGAAUGUGUAACAUUUUCGCCUGUAUUUCCCUCUUUUCUAACAUCAUUUAAAUUUCUCAUUAAUAAUUUAGCAACGUUCUGGAUUUUAAUCACUUUUCUCAUCCCCGCGGUCUCUAUCCGAGGCAGCGCUCUCCUCCCUACCUGAAGGUGACAUGGAGGCAGGGCUGGAGCCAGGGGCACCCGCCCCAGCGCCCUGUCCAGCUGCAGGGUGUUUCCUUCAUCACUUGAAAAUCCAAAGGUUGCCAAACCUAAGGCUUGAGUAGGUCACCAUUAGGGAAAAUUAAUUUUUUUGGUUUUUUUUUUAUUUGAGUUUAAUUAUGGUGGUAUUUGUUUGAUAGCUUGUUACUGUAAAUAAAAGAGAUAAAAGGAGCCCUUCACUCGAGCAGAGUUGUGAAAUAUGUACCUAAUUAAAACUAUUGGUGUAAGAGGCUAAUAAAGUACAUGUGCCUACUA